UACGUAGGUGGCAAGCGUUGUCCGGAAUUAUUGGGCGUAAAGCGCGCGCAGGUGGUUUCUUAAGUCUGAUGUGAAAGCCCACGGCUCAACCGUGGAGGGUCAUUGGAAACUGGGGAACUUGAGUGCAGGAGAGAAGAGUGGAAUUCCACGUGUAGCGGUGAAAUGCGUAGAUAUCAGGAGGAACACCGGUGGCGAAGGCGGCUACCUGGCCUAAGACUGACGCUGAGGUGCGAAAGCGUGGGGAGCGAACGGGG
rnacentral:rRNA from 1 species